UACGGAGGGUGCAAGCGUUGUCCGGAAUUACUGGGCGUAAAGGGCGCGUAGGCGGCAUGGCAAGUCGGGAGUGAAAUGCCUGGGCUCAACCGAGGAACUGCUUUCGAGACUGCCAAGCUAGAGUGCGGAAGGGGCAUCUGGAAUUCCCAGUGUAGCGGUGAAAUGCGUAGAUAUCGGGAGGAACACCUGUGGCGAAGGCGGCCACCUGGACAACAACUGACGCUGAGACGCGAAAGCGUGGGUAGCAAACAGG
rnacentral:rRNA from 1 species